CUCUGUGACUCCUACGGGAGGCAGCAGUGGGGAAUAUUGCACAAUGGGCGCAAGCCUGAUGCAGCAACGCCGCGUGAGUGAUGAAGGCCUUCGGGUCGUAAAGCUCUGUCCUCAAGGAAGAAUAAAUGACGGUACUUGAGGAGGAAGCCCCCGGCUAACUACGUGCCAGCAGCCGCGGUAAUACGUAGGGGCAAGCGUUAUCCGGAAUCACUGGGCGUAAAGGGGUGCGUAGGCGGUUUUUCAAGUCAGAAGUGAAAGGCUAUGGCUCAACCAUAGUAAGCUUUUGAAACUGUUAAACUUGAGUGCAGGAGAGGAAAGUGGAAUUCCUAGUGUAGAGGUGAAAUUCGUAGAUAUUAGGAGGAACACCAGUGGCGAAGGCGACUUUCUGGACUGUAACUGACGCUGAGGCACGAAAGCGUGGGGAGCGAACAGGAUUAGAUACCCUGGUGG
rnacentral:rRNA from 1 species